UACAGAGGGUGCAAGCGUUAAUCGGAAUUACUGGGCGUAAAGCGUGCGUAGACGGUUAUGUAAGUCGGGUGUGAAAGCCCCGGGCUCAACCUGGGAAUGCCAUUCGAGACUGCAUAGCUAGGGUGUGGAAGAGGGAAGCGGAAUUUCCGGUGUAGCGGUGAAAUGCGUAGAUAUCGGAAGGAACACCAGUGGCGAAAGCGGCUUCCUGGUCCAGCACCGACGUUCAGGCACGAAAGCGUGGGGAGCGAACAGG
rnacentral:rRNA from 1 species